UGUUAAGGCUUUGAUUAUAAAAUAUGUUUUUGUGAAAUUUACUUAUGAGAAAUAAUAAUACUUUUUAUAUUCAAUAAUCUAGUCGAUCAGAUUAGCCAAGCGGACUGAGGCGCACGAUUGACAAAUCUAUUGGGAUAAACCGUAAUCGUACCCCCUCCUAACUGCCAAAGUGUCAUGGCCGCCGUCGGGACCUAUUGUGCUGACAUUUACAAUGUUUACAUAUAGAAAAGUUUGUUUUUUUUCUGCUUAUAAUGCCGUUUUCUAAAGAUAUUAGUGAACAAAAUCGAUUUGCUAACAAUAUUUAAUAUAUUUUAAAUGUGCUAAAAUUGGAUUCAACAGCAAAAGUCGCAUAAAUAACAUAUAAAUAACGAAUUUGUUUACCUAUUACAAAUGGGGUUAUGUGGUUGUAACUGUUUAUUUUGGGAAUAAAAUGAAAAUGAUCAAUUAAACGACUGGAAAACUAUAGUGAAGUGAAGAACAUCUUGAAGUUCCAAUGAUGUUUCAAGAUGAGAUAAAUCGAAAUAAUGGUUGUAUGUUAGAAGGACAGAGAAUACGAAGAAAUGUUAUUGCUGCAUACUUAGUGUAGUGAAAUACAAACUUCAAACAUUAUAA